CGCGUGGGAAUCUACCCUUAGGUGCGGAAUAACUCAGAGAAAUUUGGGCUAAUACCGCAUAAUGACUCCGGUCCAAAGAUUUAUCGCCUAAGGAUGAGCCCGCGUAAGAUUAGCUAGUUGGUGAGGUAAUGGCUCACCAAGGCGACGAUCUAUAGCUGGUUUGAGAAGAUGAUCAGCCACAUUGGGACUGAGACACGGCCCAGACUCCUACGGGAGGCAGCAGUGGGGAAUAUUGUACAAUGGGCGCAAGCCUGAUACAGCAAUGCCGCGUGAGUGAAGAAGGCCUUAGGGUUGUAAAAC
rnacentral:rRNA from 1 species